rnacentral:tRNA from 1 species
GUCUGUAUAGAUUAUUUAAAUCAUGAUGCUGUUAACUUCAAAAUGAAGAGUUUUCUUCUGCAGUCG